GAUGAACGCUGGCGGCGUGCCUAAUACAUGCAAGUCGAGCGAACAGACGAGGAGCUUGCUCCUCUGACGUUAGCGGCGGACGGGUGAGUAACACGUGGAUAACCUACCUAUAAGACUGGGAUAGCUUCGGGAAACCGGAGCUAAUACCGGAUAAUAUAUUGAACCGCAUGGUUCAAUAGUGAAAGACGGUUUUGCUGUCACUUAUAGAUGGAUCCGCGCCGCAUUAGCUAGUUGGUAAGGUAACGGCUUACCAAGGCAACGAUGCGUAGCCGACCUGAGAGGGUGAUCGGCCACACUGGAACUGAGACACGGUCCAGACUCCUACGGGAGGCAGCAGUAGGGAAUCUUCCGCAAUGGGCGAAAGCUUGACGGAGCAACGCCGCGUGAGUGAUGAAGGUCUUCGGAUCGUAAAACUCUGUUAUUAGGGAAGAACAAAUGUGUAAGUAACUAUACACGUCUUGACGGUACCUAAUCAGAAAGCCACGGCUAACUACGUG
rnacentral:rRNA from 1 species